AGAGAGAGAAUACUUUAAUGAAGGUAUUGCUUUUUUUUUUUCUUGGUAAUCUCUUCUUUGAUUUGUUAAUUAUUGAAUGUUACAUCGAAAUUCUCAAAUGAUUGUAAUAUGGAGUAAGCUCUUGUUUGACUUACAGAUUAUCUAGGAUGCAGGAAGUGUCUUAAAAAGAAAAGAUAUUUUAUAAAGAAAAAAGUCACAUGAAAACGGAUAGGGAAAGAACGGAAAACACAAACAAAAUGAAAAGAAGAACAUAAGCAUUAUGAUAUGUGACUCAGACAUUGAACAAGCUGUCGAAUUUACGCACAUUGACCAGAGUCGGGCAGUCCACAAGAACUGAGAGUUCCGUUGAUGCCAAAAAAUAUGAAGAGAGAGUCGCUGGUGAUGCCAGGGAUGGCAGAUCUUAGGGCAUCGCAAAGGCAACCACCAGCUCGACCACCCAGCCCCUGAAGGAUGCCGCAGCAGGGGGGUUCUGUUGGGACCCCCCCUAAACUAAGACUCACCAAAUCCGACAGACAUGUACUCAAAUCAGGACAUGGUUGAGAGGUGACGAUUGAGAGUGAGAGCAGAUUCAGAGAGAGGAAUAGACCAACACAAACACUACCCUUCCAACCCAUUUCACUCAACAAACCUAAUUUCUAAUUCCUGUCACAACACUUUCUUACACUUCUCUAUGUAGAUCGAUUCUCAAUUAUCAACAACUCAACACCAGGAACUAUUUAUA
rnacentral:lncRNA from 1 species